rnacentral:tRNA from 1 species
ACCUGUAUAGCUUAUAUAGAGCGUGAUAUUGAAGAUAUUAAGGAAAUUCUAAAUUUUCAGGUAUA